rnacentral:rRNA from 1 species
AUUGAACGCUGGCGGCAGGCCUAACACAUGCAAGUCGAACGAGUGGCGGACGGGUGAGUAAUGUCUGGGAAACUGCCCGAUGGAGGGGGAUAACUACUGGAAACGGUAGCUAAUACCGCAUACCAUCGGAUGUGCCCAGAUGGGAUUAGCUAGUAGGUGGGGUAAAGGCUCACCUAGGCGCAGAUCCCUAGCGGGUCUGAGAGGAUGACGAUCCAACCGUAAACAGAGACCCAGUCCAGCCGCCAUGGGGUGCAAUCAGUGGGGAUUAUUGAGCAAUGAGCUCAAGCCUGUGGCAGCCAUGCGGCGUGAAGAAAAAAGGCCUUCGGGUUGUAAGGUACUUUAAGCGGGGAUGCGUUCCCCGCAGAAGAAGCACCGGCUAUCUCCGUGCCAGUAGCCGCGGUAAUAC